rnacentral:rRNA from 1 species
AGUGAACGCUGGCGGUAGGCCUAACACAUGCAAGUCGAACGGCAGCACAGUAAGAGCUUGCUCUUACGGGUGGCGAGUGGCGGACGGGGGAGGAAUACAUCGGAAUCUACUUUUUCGUGGGGGAUAACGUAGGGAAACUUACGCUAAUACCUCAUACGACCUACGGGUGAAAGCAGGGGAUCUUCGGACCUUGCGCGAUUGAAUGAGCCGAUGUCGGAUUAGCUAGUUGGCGGGGUAAAGGCCAACCAAGGCGACGAUCCGUAGCUGGUCUGAGAGGAUGAUCAGCGACACUGGAACUGAGACACGGUCCAGACUCCUACGGGAGGCAGCAGUGGGGAAUAUUGGACAAGGGGCGCAAGCCUGAUCCAGCCAUACCGCGUGGGUGAAGAAGGCCUUCGGGUUGUAAAGCCCUUUUGUUGGGAAAGAAAAGCAGCAGGUUAAUACCCCGCUGUUCUGACGGUACCCAAAGAAUAAGCACCGGCUAACUUCGUG